GCUAGGCGUGGUGGCGCAUGCCUGUAAUCCCAGCGGUUGGGGAGGCUGAGACAGGAGGAUCAUGGGUUCAAAGCCAGCCUCAACAAUGGUGAGGUGCUAAGCAACUCAGUAAGACCCUGUCUCUA
rnacentral:sRNA from 1 species